UAGGGAAUCUUCCACAAUAGGCGAAAGCCUGAUGGAGCAACGCCGCGUGUGUGAUGAAGGGUUUCGGCUCGUAAAACACUGUUGUAAGAGAAGAAUGACAUUGAGAGUAACUGUUCAAUGUGUGACGGUAUCUUACCAGAAAGGAACGGCUAAAUACGUGUCAG
rnacentral:rRNA from 1 species